CAAUAGCGUAUAUUUAAGUUGUUGCAGUUAAAAAGCUCGUAGUUGGAUUUCGGAUGGGAUUUGCCGGUCCGUCGUUACGAUGUGCACUGGCCAGUCCUAUCUUGUUGUCGGGGACUAGCUCCUUGGAUUCACUUCCUGGGACUAGGAGCUGACGAGGUUACUUUGAGUAAAUUAGAGUGUUCAAAGCAAGCCUACGCUCUGAAUACAUUAGCAUGGAAUAACACGAUAGGACUCUGGCUUAUCUUGUUGGUCUGUGAGACCAGAGUAAUGAUUAAGAGGGACAGUCGGGGACAUUCGUAUUUCAUUGACAGAGGUGAAAUUCUUGGAUUUAUGAAAGACGAACUUCUGCGAAAGCAUUUGUCAAGGAUGUUUUCAUUAA
rnacentral:rRNA from 1 species